GCGCUCUCGCGAGCUGCCCGGUGGCGUGAGGUCCCGCCCACAACGAGUUGACUGACGUGGACUUAACCGGCCAGAAAUCUAGAAACCACCGCGCUGUUGAACUGGAAUCUUUGACCUACACCGGUUUUUAGAAUUAUUUCCCAACUUUGGUUUUUGAUCAUCAGAAAAGCUGCCUAUUUCGCUCAUUAAAGCAAGGACUUUAUUUCAGCUUUUAAGCCUUAGUGAACACGAUAGGCAGUCAACAAACGUGUAACUUUGGCAUAAUAAUUAGUCCAAGCUGGAGAGGGAGACUUUUUAAACGAGUAAUUUUAAGUUGGAAAUGUAGCCAUACUGGGUCAAUAUUCUUUGCAUGUAACUCAUGGGUUCAGGUAUGGGCUCCAUAUUAAAUUCAUUAACAGCUCUGGUAAGCAACUGUCUGACCUUAGCUUUGUAAAAUAUUUCAUUAGCACGGAUUAAUUAAGAAGGAAGCCUUAGGCAUUGAUUGAAUACACAAACAUGUGAACUUGCUAAGGGUGUUUAGUACAGUUUUUCAGACACAGAACUAGCCUUGGGUGCUUAUGAUGUAAUAGUAACACAUAAAUCUAUAACCUGUUAUUAAACAUCCUCGUUUUGUACAACAUAAGGCUAAUAAUGCUGUGUAAAAGAAAACAUCAACCUUAUUAUCAUACUGAGCAAACCACUUUGUUGUAGCUUGUGUUUUCAAUGCCAAGACCUUGUAUCAAAGAAAGAAUUCCAUGUAGGAACGUUGGAGGAAAUGCCAGCAUGACCUGACGGCCAGCCUACUUGGCGGACUGCAAUUCUAAAUAAGAAGCAUGACGCACCACACUCCCGAAGUCAGAACAUGGGGCUCUCAAGUAGCAUGAAGAAGCUGGUAGCUGUCCUUGAAGAGCCUGAACUCUCCAUGUCUCCUUUGUGUGUGUCUUCUGCAUAGAGACCCUGGGGGUGUGAGCGCUCACUAUUCAGUCCAAGGUAAUGUGCCAGCCAGUCACAGGCCACAGGCUUCUGCUCAUGCUCAAAGCAGAUGUGUUCCCUGAAACUGUCCCCAAAGUGGUUUAUCUCCACGCCCUUUAGCUGUCUUGUCGAGGGAUGCCCCAGGAAAAAAAGCAUGGAGACACCAUGAUUUGGAUUACUUCCAUUAAUCUAUUGAAACCCACAUUGGUUAUUUCCAGUGUUGACUACUACAAAUUACUGCUAUGAGUACUCAUUACAAAUUCUUCUGUGAAAAUAACCUCUCUAUUCCCUGAAUAAAUACUAGACCACGAAAUGAUUAGACAGGGUGAUUGUCAUUUACCUUUUAGCAGUGCUGAGGAUAUAGUUCAAUGGUAGAACCCUUGCCUCAUGUGCACAAAAGCACUGUGACUGUGCCCAGCACCAUAAAAGGAAAAAGACAGGAAGUGCCCGGCAGUUGGCAAAGCGGUUGAACAGUUCUACACAUCCCUGAGUGGUGGUCCUGCAUCAGCCUUCCAAAACGUCUCACUGUCUGAAGACACUUGAUUUUCUGAUGAGCUCUCAGAAAGUGUCUGACUUGUUCAGUGCUUCCUAAUGAGGCGUUUGCCUUCUUACCUCAAUAUUUUUGAUAUUCAUAAUACAAUUCCUUUGUAUAAUUGCGAUGUAUAAUUUGGCAACAUUUCUCCCAGUGUGUGACUGAUGGCUGCAGUUCUUCUUGUAGGGUAGGAGAUGAAACGUGGGGUCUUGAGGGUUCUAGACAAGCACUGUACCACUGAGCAUCUUCAACCAUUUUUAUUCUUUUAAUAGUGUCUUUUUUAACAUUUUUUUUGUUUUGUCGAAAUCCCGUUUAUUCAUUUUUGGGCUUUCAUGAAUGAUGCUAAUGAUUUCCCAUCUAAGAAAUCUUUACCAGAACAAAAGUCACACACGUUUUCUUCCAGCUUUUACGGUUUACCAUGUCAGGUGUUAAAUUUAGGCUCCUGAUGCAUUUUCAGUUGAGCUUUUGAAAGAAUGAAAAAAUGCAGCCAAGAAGUCAGAAGUUUAGAAAUGCUAAAAUGCUAUCUCACCCCUAGGAAGCCCUAAAUAUCUCAAAUUCCAGACCCUGCUCUCUGUCAGUCAAUAGGUAAAAAGUCACAUUUCUUGAGCCUGCUCUCUAUAAGGAACUAGGUGUAAAGGCAAGAUCGGCCCUUAAGUACGUGAUCCCGACCUAGUAAGAUAAUAGAAAGCUUCUCCCAGGAACUAGCUGACCAUAAAGUUAGAUUACAAUCUUGAAAACAAUCUUGAGAAACAAAAUGCUUCUCCGUGUGAUCUUUCACUGGUAUUCUCGACAUUUUCCAAUGACGCCAUCCCUACCCGCUUGGGUUGUGGUUUCUUCCUUUAAAUACCCCUUCUCCCAGCUACUCGGGGUCGAACUCCUCUACUCCUGCGUGGGAUACGAGUCUCAACCCCAGUGCACUGGUUCCUAUCAAUAAACCUCAUAUGAUUACAGC
ensembl:lncRNA